rnacentral:rRNA from 1 species
UACGAAGGGGCUAGCGUUGCUCGGAAUCACUGGGCGUAAAGCGCACGUAGGCGGGUCUUAAGUCAGGGGUGAAAUCCUGGAGCUCAACUCCAGAACUGCCUUUGAUACUGAGGAUCUCGAGUCCGGGAGAGGUGAGUGGAACUCCGAGUGUAGAGGUGAAAUUCGUAGAAUAUUCGGAAGAAACACCAGUGGCGAAGGCGGCUCACUGGCCCCGGUACUGACGCUGAUGUGCGAAAAGCG